rnacentral:rRNA from 1 species
UACGUAGGGACCGAGCGUUGUCCGGAAUCAUUGGGCGUAAAGAGCGUGUAGGCGGCCAAUUAAGUCCUGCGUGAAAUCUCGGGGCUCAACCCCCGAGCGGUCGUGGGAAACUGGUUGGCUAGAGUGCGGGAGAGGAGAGUGGAAUUCCUGGUGUAGCGGUGAAAUGCGCAGAUAUGCGGAGGAACACCGAUGGCGAAGGCAAUCCCCCUGGACCUGUACUGACGCUCAUGCACGAA